rnacentral:rRNA from 1 species
GAUGAACGCUGGCGGCGUGCCUAAUACAUGCAAGUCGAGCGAACGGACGAGAAGCUUGCUUCUCUGAUGUUAGCGGCGGACGGGUGAGUAACACGUGGAUAACCUACCUAUAAGACUGGGAUAACUUCGGGAAACCGGAGCUAAUACCGGAUAAUAUUUUGAACCGCAUGGUUCAAAAGUGAAAGACGGUCUUGCUGUCACUUAUAGAUGGAUCCGCGCUGCAUUAGCUAGUUGGUAAGGUAACGGCUUACCAAGGCAACGAUGCAUAGCCGACCUGAGAGGGUGAUCGGCCACACUGGAACUGAGACACGGUCCAGACUCCUACGGGAGGCAGCAGUAGGGAAUCUUCCGCAAUGGGCGAAAGCCUGACGGAGCAACGCCGCGUGAGUGAUGAAGGUCUUCGGAUCGUAAAACUCUGUUAUUAGGGAAGAACAUAUGUGUAAGUAACUGUGCACAUCUUGACGGUACCUAAUCAGAAAGCCACGGCUAACUACGUGCCAGCAGCCGCGGUAAUACGUAGGUGGCAAGCGUUAUCCGGAAUUAUUGGGCGUAAAGCGCGCGUAGGCGGUUUUUUAAGUCUGAUGUGAAAGCCCACGGGCUCAACCGUGGAGGGUCAUUGGAAACUGGAAAACUUGAGUGCAGAAGAGGAAAAGUGGAAUUCCAUGUGUAGCGGUGAAAUGCGCAGAGAUAUGGAGGAACACCAGUGGCGAAGGCGACUUGUCUGGUCUGUAACUGACGCUGAUGUGCGAAAGCGUGGGGAUCAAACAGGAUUAGAUACCCUGGUAGUCCACGCCGUAAACGAUGAGUGCUAAGUGUUAGGGGGUUUCCGCCCCUUAGUGCUGCAGCUAACGCAUUAAGCACUCCGCCUGGGGAGUACGACCGCAAGGUUGAAACUCAAAGGAAUUGACGGGGACCCGCACAAGCGGUGGAGCAUGUGGUUUAAUUCGAAGCAACGCGAAGAACCUUACCAAAUCUUGACAUCCUUUGACAACUCUAGAGAUAGAGCUUUCCCCUUCGGGGGACAAAGUGACAGGUGGUGCAUGGUUGUCGUCAGCUCGUGUCGUGAGAUGUUGGGUUAAGUCCCGCAACGAGCGCAACCCUUAAGCUUAGUUGCCAUCAUUAAGUUGGGCACUCUAAGUUGACUGCCGGUGACAAACCGGAGGAAGGUGGGGAUGACGUCAAAUCAUCAUGCCCCUUAUGAUUUGGGCUACACACGUGCUACAAUGGACAAUACAAAGGGCAGCGAAACCGCGAGGUCAAGCAAAUCCCAUAAAGUUGUUCUCAGUUCGGAUUGUAGUCUGCAACUCGACUACAUGAAGCUGGAAUCGCUAGUAAUCGUAGAUCAGCAUGCUACGGUGAAUACGUUCCCGGGUCU